rnacentral:tRNA from 1 species
GCGGGAUGAAUAGGAGCGGCUCCUAUCCGGUCUCAUAAGCCGGCAGAGGCGGGUUCGACUCCCGCUCCCGCU